CAAACACCACAACAAACAUCACCAGGCAGGCACCACUAACACCAAACGCUACCUACAGGACAAUAGAGGCGUAAGACAAUUGAGUGGUGGGUAGUGACUUCAAAAUGGCCGCUGCUUCACAAAGCCUCGACACAAUGAACAUAAACCACACGAUCCCUGACUCACUCCCCGCUCAUCUGUUCGUCAGUAUUUUCCCCGCUCGUGAUGCGCUAGUGAUCUCUGUUGUUGUGAUGCGUGGCGCCGCUCAGAUAGCCUCAACAUAUUAUGCAAGACAAGGUCUUGCAGGCCGGCCUGUCACCGCUCAAACACUCGUCCGUGACCUGCAAUAGAGGGUGUGAGCCUAGUUGGUGACUGGAGCAGUGCUUCAACUACCGUCUGCUGCCCACCGUCCCCUGGUGCUAAUGGUGACACAAGGACUGAGUGCACCCACUGGGGCUCCAGUGUCUCUAGUUCAUCACACCCAAGGGCCUGAAAGACACCACAUCCUCACCAUGCAUUCACAGGGGGGCAUAAUCCACACCACUUUCAACACUAACUCUAGCCAGGGUUUGCCUGCUGGGCACUGCUGGGGAAGAGUAAGGUUCAUGACAAUUAUAUUCAGAAAUCAGAAGGAUGCAACUUACUGAAAAUAUAUAUUCAUUUUACCUAAACCCCUUCAAUAUCAGGACGCAUUUUCAUAUUCAUUCUGGUUACUAUUUGGUGACAUUAUACAGCUUCAGAAACUUACGUGGGGGAUUAAAAUAGUGAAGACUGUGGCUAUUAAUCUUUGACCUCCAUAGACCCUUUCUGAUGUCAAUAAAUGGUCUAAUCACAAUAAAAACUCAAAGCAAAAAUACUUCCCAGUACUGAAGGCAUAAACAGAGCCCUAGUGAGAGUAUGACAAAACUUGGUUCCUUGAGGCCGCAGCAGCGGUAGCCUCACGACACAGCGGAACAUUCACACACAACACAGGGAUGACAAGCCACACAGAACAGGAAUUACAGCAUAAAGACAAGCAAAGCGUCUUAACAAACCUGUAACUU